UACGUAGGCAGCGAGCGUUGUUCGGAAUUACUGGGCGUAAAGAGUGUGUAGGCGGUGCUCCCAGUCUGUUGUGAAAUCUCCCGGCUUAACUGGGAGGGUGCAGCGGAAACUAGAGUGCUAGAGGGUGGGAGAGGUAAGCGGAAUUCCUGGUGUAGCGGUGAAAUGCGUAGAUAUCAGGAGGAACACCUGUGGUGUAGACAGCUUACUGGACCACUUCUGACGCUGAGACACGGAAGCGUGGGUAGCAAACAGG
rnacentral:rRNA from 1 species